rnacentral:misc_RNA from 1 species
AAAUGCGAUAAGUAAUGUGAAUUGCAGAAUUCAGUGAAUCAUCGAAUCUUUGAACGCACCUUGCGCUCCUUGGUAUUCCUUGGAGCAUGCCUGUUUGAGUAUCAUGAAAUCUUCAAAGUAAAUCUUUUGUUAACUCAAUUGGUUUCUACUUUGGUAUUGGAGGUCUUUGCAGCUUCACACCUGCUCCUCUUUGUUCAUUAGCUGGAUCUCAGUGUUAUGCUUGGUUCCACUCGGCGUGAUAAGUUAUCUAUCGCUGAGGACACUGUAAAAGGUGGCCAAGGUAAAUGCAGAUGAACCGCUUCUAAUAGUCCAUUGACUUGGACAAUACUUUUAUGAUCUGAUCUCAAAUCAGGUAGGACUACCCGCUGAUCUUAAGC